ACACACCAAAACUGCGUGAAGUGUUUGCCAAAAAAAGAUGGGUUGCUGGCACACAAAUAAGACCUUUGCUGGAUUCAAUCAGUCAGGUAAAAAUUAAAAUUACAACAAAACAUGUAAUUUGUGUGUUCUCAUGGUUGGUCCUGCAAAUUCUCCUGUCUGUCUCAACAGCAACACAUUGACAGCCAAAGGGAGGCCAUCAUCUGCUGUCUCACUGAAUUCUGUGGGGAGUCUUCGGGGGAUCUCAUCAAAGACUAUCAUGUAAAUUCCAUGUUUUUCACAUCACUGUGACUCACGUAUAUACAAUACUUCAUUUUUUACUAGCUCAUGUAAUCAGUAAAUUGGUUGAUAUGUAUAUGGUUUUAAUAAAUGAGUGUUAAGUGAAUUGUGAGACUACUAUGUACCUUAACAUAAAUUCACAUUUAUUCCACAGAAUGUCACCAGAGAAGCUGUUAAAGAGGACCAGGCAGAGCAAGUCCUGAAAAUUUGUGUCGUCCAUACUAGCGACGGAGAUGACCCC